GUGAGGAGAGCGGCUUGGGUUUUGUAACUUCCCUCCCCCCUCCUUCUCCUUCUCCUUCUCAUUCACCUUCCCCCUCAAUUCAGCCUAAAACAUGGCGUCAGCACCAUCAUCCUUAAUAGACCCGUCUACCGCAACCCCACCAUCCCUCAAGCCCAAGCUCCAUCAACCUUCCCUUGCUCCUACCACCCCCUCUUCCCUCAAGCCCGAGUUUCCGACGCCCUCCACUGCUACUCACCGUCCACCGCUAGUGCCCCCCUCUUCUGACGCUGACAUUGUCCACAUCCCUAGCUACUCCAGGUGGUUUUCGUGGAACAAUAUUCACGAAUGCGAGGUCCGAUUCCUCCCUGAAUUCUUCGAUUCGCGGUCUCCUUCUAAGAACCCUAGGGUUUACAUGUACUACAGGAACUCCAUCAUCAAGUAUUUUAGGCGGAAUCCUUCUGGCAAGAUCACCUUCACGGAGGUCAGGAAAACGCUUGUGGGUGACGUGGGCUCCAUUCGCAGGGUUUUCGACUUCCUGGAGGCUUGGGGUUUGAUUAACUAUUCGCCUUCCGCUUUAAACAAGCCCUUGAAGUGGGAAGACAAGGACAGUAAGUCUACUUCGCAGAGUGGUGCUGAUGGUGGCACUUCUGCUGAUUCUACUCCUCCCAAGAGGGACACUUCCAAGAGAUUGUGUAGUGGUUGCCAAUCUGUUUGCACCAUUGCUUGCUUUGUUUGUGACAAGUAUGACUUGACCCUAUGCGCCCGAUGCUAUGUGCGUGGUAACUAUCGCGUUGGUGUCAGUUCUUCCGAUUUCAGGAGGGUUGAGAUCAGCGAAGAGAUAAGGACGGAGUGGACAGAGAAGGAGACAUUGCAACUUUUGGAAGCCGUUGCACAUUAUGGUGAUGACUGGAAGAAGGUUGCACUACAUGUUCCUGGUAGAAGUGAAAAGGACUGUGUUUCUCAUUUCAUCAAGCUUCCUUUUGGGGAAGAAUUUGCGGGUUAUGCAAACUUGGGAGAACUUGAUAACAAGCAUCACAAAAUAAAGGACUGCACUUAUUCGGAGUGCGGAUCAGAGAGUAUUGGCUCCCCGUCUGCAAAUAAAAGGAUGCAUCUCACGCCUCUUGCAGAUGCAAGCAAUCCAAUAAUGGCCCAGGCUGCAUUUCUAUUAUCAGCUCUAGUGGGUACAGAGGUUGCAGAAGCUGCUGCUCAAGCAGCUGUAGCAGCUCUGACUGAGGUUGAAUAUGUGACCAGUAAAGGUGGUGUUGGAUCUCUUUUCAGUAAUGCAAGACAACAAGGUGCUGGUGUUGGAUCUAAUGUAAAUGCAUUGGAAAGAGCUUCCUUGGAUGCUAAUCCACUGCCUGAGAAGGAACAGCAAGAUGCGGAGAAAGCAAUUUCCAGGAUUAUAGAAGUGCAGAUGAAAGAGAUCCAAGAUAAGAUUGUUCGUUUUGAGGAGAUGGAUUUGUUGAUGGAGAAAGAGUGGCAACAGUUGGAGCAAAUAAAAAAUCUGCUCUUUGUGGAUCAGCUCAGCCUUUUGUUUCAUAAAAAAUCAACACCAAAAACUGGGGAACGUAUGGAGGACAAUGUAAGAACAGAUUGAUGUUAUAUGUGUUAACACAUAUGAUCAAAUGCCAAAUUUGUUUCUUUUUGUGGUCUCUGCACUUGCUUUUGCUGUGGUGUUCUCAAUUUGAAUCAAUCUAAUAAUAUGUAGCAGUGAGGAAGCCCUUAAUUUUGGAGAAAGCGCUGGAGUUGGCAAAAUCUUGUUUUCUCUAUAUUUCGUGGCAAAUAGAAGUGAUCAGUCCCAUUCCAUAUGUAACACUAGCAUUUGUAAAGUUGCAGGGAAUUAAGGAUAGGCAAAUUGGGGUCGUCAAAAUUCAAAAGUCUGAUACAUAUUAUUAGA
rnacentral:misc_RNA from 1 species